rnacentral:tRNA from 1 species
GAAAUCAUAGCUCAGUGGUAGAGUGCGUGCUUAGCAUGCACGAGGUCCUGGGUUCAAUCCCCAGUACCUCCA